AUAGAGGGAAAGAUCAGACCAGGCGACUAUGGAGAAAGAAGGGGAGAAGGGGUGAACGUGAUCCUUGAGAAGCCACGAGAGCAUGUCGAAAAUCUGCAGAUCAAAAGCAAUCACGACCACAGCUUUGAUCGACGAACCAAGACACGUUGAGAAACUGGAGGACAUAAGCCGUUGAUCCGCAGAAACGGCUGUUAACGUUAACGCUUCUGAUUUGUUUGGACGUGAGAGAGCAAGUAGAAAACAGAGAGAGAAGCUAACUCAGUAUGAGUCGAGAUGGAUGGAGGAAGAAAGCCAGCUCUGAUGAUGGGUGGGGUGGAAUGGGAGGCUACAUGGCGGCCAAGGUGUCUAAACUGGAGGAGCAGUUCCAGCUGGACGCCCCCAGAGAGAAGCAGAAGGAGGGCGGCUCCUCCAGCAUCUUCACCGGGGUGGCCAUCUACGUCAACGGAUACACAG